AGCGAACGCUGGCGGCAGGCCUAACACAUGCAAGUCGAACGAACCUUUCGGGGUUAGUGGCGGACGGGUGAGUAACACGUGGGAACGUGCCUUUAGGUUCGGAAUAACUCAGGGAAACUUGUGCUAAUACCGAAUGUGCCCUUCGGGGGAAAGAUUUAUCGCCUUUAGAGCGGCCCGCGUCUGAUUAGCUAGUUGUUUGAGGUAAUGGCUCACCAAGGCGACGUUCAGUAGCUGGUCUGAGAGGAUGAUCAGCCACAUUGGGACUGAGACACGGCCCAAACUCCUACGGGAGGCAGCAGUGGGGAAUCUUGCGCAAUGGGCGAAAGCAUGACGCAGCCAUGCCGCGUGAAUGAUGAAGGUCUUAGGAUUGUAAAAUUCUUUCAACGGGGACGAUAAUGACGGUACCCGGAGAAGAAGCCCCGGCUAACUUCGUG
rnacentral:rRNA from 1 species